UCUGUGAAGAGAAGGGAAGGUGCUGGUUGGAGGACAGCAGAGCAAAAGUGUGACAUUUCAGGGUGGGCUUGUGCCUUGGUGUUGUCAGUCAUGACAAAGCUCACACCUAGGGGGAUAUCAGGGGAUCCUCCGAGUUCUUCCUCCAGCCCCUUGUUGUCUACAGGAGUUUGUAAGAAUGUGGGGCCCUCAUCACUGAUGGGGUUCACUUUGUAUAUACAAGCUGGGGAAAGGUGCAGAGAGAAUCCCAUCAAGGGGUGCCUCUGGCUCAGACCAUCUGUUACACUGAGAUGUGGGGGCAAGUUGGCUCUGCUUACACCCCAGAAAUGGGGGGGGGUCAAAGUACAAAUGUCCUAGCAGAGCUGUCAGCAGGCUCAACUAAUGGAGAUGGAAGGGAACGAUACAAGAGAAUGCUCAUGUCUUUUCUCCAAGUUGAUUGAGAACAGCCUUCGGAGGCUGAGGCAGGAGAAUGGCAUGAACCCAGGAGGCAGAGCUUGCAGUGAGCCGAGAUCGCGCCACUGCACGCUGGCCUGGGCGAAAAGAGCGAGACUAUGUCUCAAAAAAAAAGAACAGCCUUCCCAGGUUCUCCUUAGGCAUCCACGAUGACAAGUAACAGGCCUGAGAUUCCACUUGGUUGCCGGCCAUGGUUAUAACCAGAAGGCUGAUUCUUGCUGCUCAGGAGCCACACCCCACUUCACGGAGGAUCCUUCCUUGGGGCUGGGGGCAGGACUCUGGAUACCCUAAGGGUUUUCUAAGACAAAGAGGAAUCUGCCAGGACAACAGGCAGCACCCUAGGGUGGCUUAAUGGCAGUGGACUAUGGAGGAGCCAGGGUCCUAACAUGAGACUGUGGUCUCUGGCAGCCCCAUAGCCAUCUCUCCUGGCUUGGCACCAUGGGAUCUAAACUGGGAGAGCAUGGAGAUUCAUCUAGAAUAAAAGCAGAAUGUUUCCCAAACAAUGCAAGAGUCCAAACAACAAAUCUCUCUUUGUAUGAGACAAAUCACUCAUGUUGCUGAGUAAAACAGGGACCACUUGCACAACAAAACUGCAUGCAUUCCAAGCUGGAAAUCUGGUUUUCAGGAUUAUAGCUGAAUUUAAGAGGAGAAAUAAAACUAAUGGAGUAUAAGACAGAUGGAAAUAUUUUACCCAGACACUCUCUUCUUAAAGGUACUCAGAAAGCCCUGAAGGCACCUUCUCCGAAUACUGGCCACACCAAAUUCUGCUCAGCUCCCGGGACUGACAGCAUUGGGACUGACUGCAAUUUCACUGCAAGACUGCACCUGCCUCUGCUGUUGUUUCCAGUGGAGACCCAGAGAGGGCUGGAAUCAGGUUUCUCACAGAAGACAAGAGAUAAUGACCAAAAACAAACUGGUGUCACCCUAGGAGUGCCUGGUGAUUAAGGUACUCAGUGAGGUCAGGAGGCUUCCCACGUAAUGGAACUUCCCAGCAACUCUUAGUCAAUUCAAGCCAACACAGGGGAGGAAGCCCUGUUGUUUCUGUGAAAGGAUUGAUGUCCCUUUGAUUACAAUAUUAGACUAUGAACUCUUUAGGGGCGUGGACCGAGUUUUGUUCCUGUCUGUGUCCCCUGAACCUAACCCAGGUCCUGGCCCAAGUACACACUUGGCAAGUGUUGAAUGAAUAAAUGAAUGAAUGUUAAUGAAUGAACGAAUGAAUAUCUUGGAAGCUGAGCCCCACGAGUUAGGUACAAGAUGCCCAUUAUGCUGCCUAGAAACUCAUAGUUGAACUCAUAAAUUCAUAGUUGAAGUUGGUCUACAUUUUGAACAAACAGACAAGAGCCUAGCAUAACAAAUGUUCUGUGAACAUUAUAUCUAAGUGUGGCCAAUGGAAGCUAUUUUGCAAAUACAAUGUUUCUUGAGACGUUAUGUGGGAUCUGAAGAAAGAAGUGAAAUGGGUCUAAUAAAUGUGCUGUAAGAAAUACAUGCUAUUCAAGGAGUGAUGUGUUAAAAACAGUGACAGGAUGGAUAUUCCAUUCUCCAUGAUGUGCUUAUUUCACACUGCAUGCCUGUAUCAAAACAUCUCAUGUACCUGAUAAAUAUACACACAUACUAUGUACCCACACACACACACAAAACUUAACAAAAAACAGAGAUUGGCUGUCUGAUUCCUUUCUAUUGCCCCAUUUCACUUUCCAGGCUGAACAAGCAUGAUGCCUGCGGGUCAAGGCGAGAUCUCUCAUAGAUUCCUUCCUGUGGCUGCAAAUUGAAGUUCGAUUCUGUUUGAAGUAAGAAGAGAAGUAAGACGCCACCAUCCGCUGGAUGCUUCAUGGAGUUACCAAUAUCCCCAUAUCCAUGAGCUCUGCUGAAUGCUUAAAGAAACUUUGGCCUUUUACCCCUGCAGGUACUUCUCAUGCACAGUCCUGUCCUACCCUCCUGCCUGUUCCUGGGGAUCACAGGACAAGCCUGCAUUCCUCUACAGAGGUCUGGAUGGGAUCCAUUAGGUCACGGGGCACCGCAUGGGGCUCAUGUGGCAAUGCUGCCAGGAUGACUUAGCAGCCUCAGGGCCACUGGCAGGUUUCUGGACUGAUGGAUAAUUCUAUUCCCCAACUGUCACAACCUCCAAGCCUCAACUUGUCCCUGUGGCAGCUUGCUGCAUCUGUGGCUAAUGCUACAAGGCACAAAGGAUUCUGCUCUACUGGAGCACUACUCAGUGGCAUGCUGAUCCUUUGGUCCUUCCCUGCACCUCAGUCCCUUUUUGAGAGACACCCGAGGUGCAGGAGAAGUAAAGUCACUAAGAGUUUUCUCUGGUUGAGCUUCUGGCUCAUGGCUAUCAGACAGACUUGGCUGUAGAGUCUGAGAAGACAAAGGGUCCCUGACACUCCUCACUAUGUUGCCCCUGGACAAUAUGGGGGCUCUCCUGUGUCCCAAACUGCUUCAUUGAUGGACAAAAAGUCCCAACACAAUUCUCAACCCCCAAGUCACUUGAGGGACCAUAGCUUGGCAUGACCCCAAGGUUAUUCCUCUGAAAUAAAAUGAUCUGCAAGUGAAACGCCAUGGCAGUUUUCUGCUGAGGAUGUGGGACAACUACAGAAACAGAAGGCUGGAGCCUCAUUGUGCUCUCAUGAGGUCAGAAAGCCUGGCACCUGGUGAGUGGUUGGGGUUUACUGUGGGCUGGGCAGGCAUCUCAGAAGCCAUGCAUUUGGGGUAGUGACUAAGUAUUUUAGCCCUGGCACAUAGACCCCCUGCAGCCCACAAAGCGGGACAAAACCAGCAUUUGGUAAAAUACCAUCCCUCUGGUCAUCAUUGAGUCAUUCAUUUAGCAAGCCAGGUGCUGCAGAAUUGUCUAUUAUGCCAAGCACUGCAGAAAAUACAAAGAAGAAAAGACAUAGCUCCUAACCACAGGGAGCUUUCAAUCACAUAGACAAGGCAGGACACAAUAAUUCACAAGCGUGGUGUUCUCCAGCGUAGUCCUCACCACCUCCACCAGCACUCCAGCCUAAGUCAACACUGUAAUCUACAGAGACACUUAGAAACACAGUUGGCAGAGUGAGUACUGCUCCUCCCUUUGCAGGCAGGGAGACUGGAUAAAUAUGUUUGCUGUCUUUGGGAUUUUUUUCUGCCUGUCCAAUUGCACAAAUAAUUUUGGCUCCCAAGCUCUCUCCUGACAACCAUGGAAACAUGACAUGAAAUUUCUCAAACACACUUUCUGAUGAAAGCAAGGCAUGCUCUUUUUUAUUUAAAGAAAACAGUUUCCAUGGGGAGGAAGAAGAAGAAUUAAAAAAAAAAACAAACCUUUGUAGAUGCCAAGCACAUUAGUUGUUAAAUCUUGUUUCUUUCUUUUCCUUUCAGUUGAGGUGGGAUUUACACCCAGAUUUGAGCAGUGGAAGAAAGCUGGGAUUGGGGAAGAGAUGAAAGAGACUGGGGGAUGAGGGCUGAAAAUCAAAGUCAAGACAGGAGAGAGAAAUCUGGGGGUGGGCAGGAGGGGAAAGCAGGCCAGAAGGGAGGAGUGGGAGAGGAAGAAGGAGAGAGACUAAAAAGAACCUAUUUUGCAAUGUCAUUAAAUGAUUUGCAAUGAAUUGGCCUGAGGCUUCAGGAAUUUCUUGGCUUGAACCAAUUAAAAAUACUUCAUUUUUAAAAAAGACAUAAGAGAACGAGAAAUGCGAUUAAUCCUCAAAGACAAGUCAAGGAUGGAGCCAUGUCUCCACUGGGUCUGGCAGCCAGAUGAACACAGAUGUCUGGUCUGUAGACCAUCUCAUCUACCCGACUUCAGGGCCGCUCUGAGGUAGGGCUGGUUAGCAGAACUGGGGAGUUUCUUUUGGACUAGAUGAAGGAAUGAAAUAGUUAGAAAAAAAAUAUACUGAAGAAAGAGCAGAAGGAAAAAAAGAUUUACUUGCCAGCAACCCACAUCACACAUAUUUCUCUGAUCAACCAAAUACAAACUAUAAACUUAGCAGUGGGAAAAUUAAUGUGAGUCCUGGUGGUCUGGACUCAUCAGAGCCAGAGCUGGAUCCUGGCACAGGCUUUGGAAGGGCUGGCAGCCUGUGCAAGAAGAGAGGGAGGAGAGAAAGCGGAGGCUGAGGAGCUGAGAGAAAGAAUGGGGAUGAGCACUUUGGUGUGGCUGUGAUGAACAGAACUCCAGGUGGGAGAGACGGGGCAGUGGGGCCUGCUUUUUCUUCCCACACACCUGGAAACUGCAUACUCCCAUCAGCCUCGGUGGCACCAAUCCCAUCCACCCACUCCAAAAUGCCCCUUGAGGUAUAUGUGAGGACAGUGGUCCCCAACCUUUUUGGCAUCAGGGACGGGUUUCAUGGAAGACAAUUUUUCCAUGGACCAUGGGUGGGGAGACUGGGGGGGAUGGUUUUGGGAUAAAACUGUUCCACCUCAAAUCAAUAGACAUUAGUUAGAUUCUCAUAAGGGGCGCACAACCUCCUAAAUCCCUCGCAUGCACAGUUCACAGUAGGGUUCACCCUCUAAUGGUGAACCCUAUUCUAUUGAAUGGUGAAAACCUGUUCUGUUCUGUUCUGUUCUGUUCUGUUCUUUCUGUUCUGUUCUGUUCUGUUCUGUUCUGUUCUGUUCUGUUCUGUUCUGUUCUAUUCUAUUCUAAUAGAAUCUAAUGCCACUGCUGAUCUGACAGGAGGUGGUGUUCAGAUGGUAAUGCUUGCUGGUCCACCGCUCACCUCCUGCUGUGUGACCCUGUUCCUAACAGGCCAUGCACCACCAUGGAACGGUACUGGUCUGCUGCCUGGGGGUUGGGGACCCCUGUGUUAGGUCAUGGAGCCAAAUUCACUGGCAUCUCCCUGAGGUUCCAGAAUUUCCUCCAAACAUCUCAGUUUCUUUCCAAUGUUGUUUUAUGCUUCUGACAUUCAUCAAUUUUUCUAAGUCUUUCUUGAAUCCAUUUGUAUCUUCAACCUCUUUGUAUCCUGAGUCCCUGCUUUAUCCUUUCUUAUAUACUUCUUGAAAACUUUAAAUAUAUCAGAAUUUGAAAAGGAAAUUCAGAAAUUGUUAAUUUACCCUGUGUAUGCCCUUUUUCAUCUUCUAGACCUCAAACAUGUUUUAUCUGGGAGUCUUCCUCUUUCAUGACAUUCACAGAAGGCCUAUGGUGUGCCAGGCCCCGUGGACAGCACUGUGGACACAGAUGCAUAAUAACAGUUCCUACCCUCCAGAUAGAGAGGCAAGAAAGGGCUGUGGAAGCAAACCCAAGGUACUAAGGAAGCCGGGAAGAGAACCUACUCUAGACUUGGAAGUUGAAGGGGUCAAGAAACAUUCCUAGAGAAGAUACCUGAGUCUUGAAAACUGAGAAGGAAUUAGUAACCCAACAGAGGUGGGAACUUUCUGAGGACGGAGAUGGAGAGGAAGAUGCUGCCAGCUGAGGGACCACCAUUCUGAAAGCUAGGAGAAAGUGCGCGAUGGAAAGUGGGCCUGAGGGAAAGGCUGUAAGCACCUCACUAUUAAUCACAAUUCUCCCUAUAGGAAAAUAAAUGCUGUUUCUACUUCA